UACGUAGGUGGCAAGCGUUGUCCGGAUUUAUUGGGGUUAAAGGGUGCGUAGGCGGUCCUGUAAGUCAGUUGUGAAAUACGGCAGCUUAACUGUCGAGGUGCAAUUGAUACUGCGGGACUAGAGUACUGAUGAGGUAAGCGGAAUGGACGGUGUAGCGGUGAAAUGCUUAGAUAUCGUCCAGAACACCGAUAGCGAAGGCAGCUUACUAAGGAGUAACUGACGCUGAGGCACGAAAGUGUGGGGAUCAAACAGG
rnacentral:rRNA from 1 species